CUGCCCGGAUAGCUCAGUCGGUAGAGCAUUAGGCUUUUAACCUAAGGGUCCAGGGUUCGAGUCCCUGUUCGCAGG